GACGAACGCUGGCGGCGUGCUUAACACAUGCAAGUCGAGCGGAAAGGCCACUUCGGUGGUACUCGAGCGGCGAACGGGUGAGUAACACGUGAGUAAUCUGCCCCUGGCUUAGGGAUAGCAACCGGAAAAGGUGAUUAAUACCGGAUACGACCACUUCUCGCAUGGGAUGGUGGUGGAAAGUUUUUUCGGCCAGGGAUGUGCUAGCGGCCUAUCAGCUUGAUGGUGAGGUAAUGGCUCACCAUGGCUUCGAAGGGUAGUCGGCCUGAGAGGGUGACCGGUCAUACUGGGACGUUGACACUGCCCAGACUCUUACGUGAAGCAUCAGUGCAGAAUGUUGGUCAAUGAGCGGAAGCCUGAUCCAGCAACUCCGCGUGAGGGAUGACGGCCUUCGGGUUGUAAACAUCUUUCAGCAGGGACGAAGCGCAAGUGACGGUACCUGCAGAAGAAGCACCGGCCAUCUACGUGCCAGCCGCCGCAGUAA
rnacentral:rRNA from 1 species